rnacentral:rRNA from 1 species
AACGAACGCUGGCGGCAUGCCUAACACAUGCAAGUCGAACGAGACCUUCGGGUCUAGUGGCGCACGGGUGCGUAACGCGUGGGAACCUGCCCUUAGGUUCGGAAUAACUCCCCGAAAGGGGUGCUAAUACCGGAUAAUGUCUUCGGACCAAAGAUUUAUCGCCUUUGGAUGGGCCCGCGUUGGAUUAGCUAGUUGAUAGGGUAAAAGCCUACCAAGGCGACGAUCCAUAGCUGGUCUGAGAGGAUGAUCAGCCACACUGGGACUGAGACACGGCCCAGACUCCUACGGGAGGCAGCAGUGGGGAAUAUUGGACAAUGGGCGAAAGCCUGAUCCAGCAAUGCCGCGUGAGUGAUGAAGGCCUUAGGGUUGUAAAGCUCUUUUACCCGGGAUGAUAAUGACAGUACCGGGAGAAUAAGCGCCGGCUAACUCCGUG